AUAAAUCAACCAUAAAGCACCAAAAUUAUUUUUCUAUGUGGAAAACAAAGGCUAACAUAAGUGGUUUCAACACUUUAACAAUUUUCCACUAAUUAUCAUGUAAAUAACAAAAUUAAGACAUCAAACAAGCAUUAGAUUUAAAACAUCAUGAAAACUAUUGAUUCCACAAAUACAAGUUGUAGAUCUGGAACAUACAUGAUAAAUGGAGGCUAACAAAUCUC
rnacentral:lncRNA from 1 species